rnacentral:rRNA from 1 species
ACGCUCGACACCUACGGGAGGCGGCAGUCGGGAAUAUUGCGCAAUGGAGGAAACUCUGACGCAGUGACGCCGCGUAUAGGAAGAAGGUUUUCGGAUUGUAAACUAUUGUCGUUAGGGAAGAAAAAAGACAGUACCUAAGGAGGAAGCUCCGGCUAACUACGUGCCGGCAGCCGCGGUAAUCUGAGCGGGCUGGCAAGGC